CGCCCGAGGCUCGCCCCGCGCAGCGCUGGGGCCCCUGGGCGCGCAGCUCGCCCCCCUCCCAGGGCCCUGUGGCCCAGGGGCGGGCCGGGGGCUCCGCGGCCGCAGCGAGGCCCGGGCUGGAGACCUGGUCCCUCGUCUGGAGCCGUGCGGGUGAACGCGGAGCGCGCGGGACCCUCCUGCAAAUAAAAGGAUUAAAUAAUUUCCCUCUGAGAAGACCAAGGCUCAAAGGAGAGAAGAGGCCAGGGACACCCCCUCCCCGGCCAUCUUGGUGAAGAUUGGUUGUAGUUCAGGCCUGCUGACUCCAGUCAUUCCCUAUCGCCUUCAGAUUUCUGUCAUCUCCUUCUACCACCUUGAAGUUCCAAUCGCCUUUACGAUUAGUCAUAUAUGUAUGUCACUUGUACUGUUAUUGACAGUAGCCUUCUUGAAAAUUACUCACUCUAUUUAAACAAACUUUAUUUUAUAAGACAAUUAUGUCAUAACCAUAAGUGGAAAACCAGUGGUACUUUGCCCUAUGGGGUGAUACACACAAAAGUGAAUAGAGUGAAAACAAAACUGUUUCAUCUAGCCCAACACCAUUGCCUCCUUGAGCUGCUCCUUUGAUUAAAAAGGAAGAAGAGCAAGAGAAGAAAAUGGGGUUAAAGACACACCAGCCCACCCCAAGACUAGCUCUUGGGUGUCUUCGGAGAAAAAGGAGCACUUCCUGAGUCCCAGCAGGCACCUGGGCAUGUGAGCCAUCUGAGUUGUCCCUCCUUGGGGCUGUGCAGGACCAGACAUGUCUAGACACUCUCAUGGCUUGUUGCAGGGUGACCCAUGGGCCUGGCCCCAUAUCUCUGAUCCUGCUGUGAUCAGGAAAUGAGAGCUGCUGCUGCUGACCCAGCGGGAGAGUAACAUCUAACCUCCUAUUUGUCAACCCUGUUGGUGGCGUGUGUCACAAGAACCACCCAUGAGCCACUGUGCUGUUAACAAAAAAUCGGGCUGGGAAUUUCUGAGAUAGGCAAAAGGUUAAUAUCUCAACUGCAAACAACUGUUUUGUCAAGUCCCUGUUUUUCCAUCCGGCUGAGCCAGCAGUUGAUUGUCAGGGGAUCCAGUUCCUCCAUGUGAAAUGCAAGUCUCACCUCCUAAGACCUACUUGUUGACAAAAGGAGCACUGGCUUCUCUGGGGGCAGUCUGGCAUACACUCACUCUUGGAGAAUCUGAUGAAAUUUGCCAAAAUUAAAAGCAGAAAUUACGAAGUAAUCCUUAAGUGAAUAAAAUUCAUUGUAAAUUAUA